rnacentral:lncRNA from 1 species
AUUGGGUAAACAAACAAUUAUUAAAAAGAAAACUUUUGGCCUGUCUUACAGGCCACGGAGUUGCUUGCAGAUCUUACGUAUGCCAGGGAGUCUCAAAAGAGUCGAGUGCGCUGUGGAGCUUAGUGAGCCUGCUGGCUAGAAGCCAUUCAGUUCUUGCCAAAGUUAAAGUGGUCUAUGUAAAUACCCUUCCAGAGCUGGUACAACAAAAAUCAGGAAGAAGAAUCCCCCAAUGA